rnacentral:rRNA from 1 species
AACGAACGCUGGCGGCAGGCCUAACACAUGCAAGUCGAGCGAGGACUUCGGUCCUAGCGGCGGACGGGUGAGUAACGCGUGGGAACGUGCCCUUUGCUUCGGAAUAGCCCUGGGAAACUGGGAGUAAUACCGGAUGAGCCCUUUGGGGGAAAGAUUUAUCGGCGAAGGAUCGGCCCGCGUUGGAUUAGGUAGUUGGUGGGGUAAUGGCCUACCAAGCCGACGAUCCAUAGCUGGUCUGAGAGGAUGAUCAGCCACACUGGGACUGAGACACGGCCCAGACUCCUACGGGAGGCAGCAGUGGGGAAUCUUAGACAAUGGGGGAAACCCUGAUCUAGCCAUGCCGCGUGAGCGAUGAAGGCCUUAGGGUUGUAAAGCUCUUUCAGCUGGGAAGAUAAUGACGGUACCAGCAGAAGAAGCCCCGGCUAACUCCGUG